GCGGCGAGUGGCGAACGGGUGAGUAAUAUAUCGGAACGUACCCAGAAGUGGGGGAUAACGUAGCGAAAGUUACGCUAAUACCGCAUACGAUCUACGGAUGAAAGUGGGGGAUCGCAAGACCUCAUGCUUUUGGAGCGGCCGAUAUCUGAUUAGCUAGUUGGUGAGGUAAAGGCUCACCAAGGCGACGAUCAGUAGCUGGUCUGAGAGGACGACCAGCCACACUGGGACUGAGACACGGCCCAGACUCCUACGGGAGGCAGCAGUGGGGAAUUUUGGACAAUGGGCGCAAGCCUGAUCCAGCAAUGCCGCGUGAGUGAA
rnacentral:rRNA from 1 species